rnacentral:rRNA from 1 species
CAUGGGAUAAUGGAAUAGGACCCUGUCCUCCUAUUUUCAGUUGGUUUUGGCAGCGCGAGGACUAGGGUAAUGAUUAAUAGGGAUAGUUGGGGGCAUUAAUAUUUAAUUGUCAGAGGUGAAAUUCUUGGAUUUAUGAAAGAUAACUUCUGCGAAAGAUCUGCCAAAGGAUGUUUUCAUUAAUAAGAACGAAAGUUAGGGGAUCGAAGACGAUCAGAUACCGUUGUAGUUUUUAACCAUAAACGAUGCCGACCAGCGAUUAGGAGACGUUGAAUACAAAACACCACCAUCAACGCGGUCGUCCUUGGCGCGUUCGUGUCAC